UGGGGAAUAUUGGACAAUGGGCGAAAGCCUGAUCCAGCGACGCCGCGUGGAGGAAGAAGUCUUUCGGGAUGUAAACUCCUUUUGAUAGGAAAGAUAAUGACGGUACCUAUAGAAUAAGUCCCGGCUAACUACGUGCCAGCAGCCGCGGUAAUACGUAGGGGACGAGUGUUGUCCGGAUUUACUGGGCGUAAAGCGCGUGUAGGUGGUAUUUUAAGUCAGGUGUUAAAGGCAGAGGCUCAACCUUUGUACGCACUUGAUACUGAAUUACUAGAGGAUAGGAGAGGAGAGUGGAACUCACGGUGUAGCGGUGAAAUGCGUAGAUAUCGUGAGGAACACCAAUGGCGAAGGCAGCUCUCUGGACUAUUCCUGACACUAAGACGCGAAAGCGUGGGGAGCAAACGGG
rnacentral:rRNA from 1 species